rnacentral:rRNA from 1 species
UUGGAGGGCAAGUCUGGUGCCCGCAGCCGCGGUAAUUCCAGCUCCAAUAGCGUAUAUUAAAGUUGUUGCAGUUAAAAAGCUCGUAGUUGAAUUUCGAGACCGGUUUACUGGUCGUGCUUUUGUACGUACUGGUAUUAUUGGUUUCUCCUUUCUGACGAAUCUUAAUGCCAUUAAUUUGGUGUUUUGGGGAAUCAGGACUGUUACUCUGAAAAAAUUAGAGUGUUUAAAGCAGGCUCACGCUUGGAUACAUUAGCAUGGAAUAACGAAAUAGGACGUUUGAUUUUAUUUUGUUGGUUUCUAGGAUCGACGUAAUGAUUAAUAGGGAUAGUUGGGGGCAUUAGUAUUCAAUUGCCAGAGGUGAAAUUCUUGGAUUUAUUGAAGACUAACUACUGCGAAAGCAUUUGCCAAGGAUGUUUUCAUUAAUCAAGAACGAAAGUUAGGGGAUCGAAGACGAUCAGAUACCGUCGUAGUCUUAACCAUAAACUAUGCCGACUAGGGAUCGGAUGAUGUUAAUUUUUUAAUGACUCAUUCGGCGCCUUACGGGAAA